rnacentral:rRNA from 1 species
CGUAGGUGAACCUGCGGAAGGAUCAUUACCGAGUUAGGGUUCUAACAAGGCCCAACCUCCAACCCAUUGUGUACCUCGCAAGUUGAACUGUUGCUUCGGCAGGCCCCCCCCCCUCAGGUGCCUGCCGAGGCUCAACAAAAACACUUUUUAAUGGUGCUGUCUGAGUCUAAUGUUAAAUCGUUAAAACUUUCAACAACGGAUCUCUUGGUUCCCGCAUCGAUGAAGAACGCAGCGAAAUGCGAUAAGUAAUGUGAAUUGCAGAAUUCAGUGAAUCAUCGAAUCUUUGAACGCACAUUGCGCCCCUGGGCAUUCCUAGGGGCAUGCCUGUUCGAGCGUCAUUGUAAAAUCUCAAGCUCCGCUUGGUGUUGGGUGUUCGCUCCCUCCCCCGCUACAAUGGUGGGGGGUCAGGGCGUGCCUGAAAAUCAGUGGUGGUGCCCAUGGUGGCCUCAAGCGUAGUAGACUCUCUCUCGCUUUGGAUGGUUCAUCGUGUGGCUCGCCAGCCUAAAAUCUUUAGAAAGGUUUUGACCUCGGAUCAGGU